rnacentral:rRNA from 1 species
CCUACGGGAGGCAGCAGUGGGGAAUAUUGGGCAAUGGAGGAAACUCUGACCCAGCAACGCCGCGUGAAUGAUGAAGGUCUUCGGAUUGUAAAGUUCUUUUCUAAGGGAAGAAGAAAGUGACUGUACCUUAGGAAUAAGCCUCGGCUAACUACGUGCCAACAGCCGCGGUAAUACGUAGGAGGCGAGCGUUAUCCGGAAUGACUGGGCGUAAAGGGGGCGUAGGUGGUUUGGCAAGUUAGUAGCGUAACUCCAAGGCUCAACCUUGGAACUACUACUAAAACUGUUGGACUUGAGUGCAGGAGGGGCAACCGGAAUUCCUGGUGUAGCGGUGGAAUGCGUAGAUAUUAGGAGGAACAUCAGUGGCGAAGGCGGGUUGCUAGACUGUAACUGACACUGAGGCACGAAAGCGUGGGGAGCAAACAGGAUUAGAUACCCUUGUAGUC